UGGGGAAUUUUGCGCAAUGGGCGAAAGCCUGACGCAGCGACGCCGCGUGGAGGAUGAAGGUUUUCGGAUUGUAAACUCCUUUUGUAGGGGAAGAUAAUGACGGUACCCUAUGAAUAAGCCACGGCUAACUCUGUGCCAGCAGCCGCGGUAAGACAGAGGUGGCAAGCGUUGUUCGGAAUUACUGGGCUUAAAGGGCGCGUAGGUGGUGGCAUAAGUCCGAGGUGGAAGGCUAAGGCUUAACCUUAGAAUUGCCUUGGAAACUGUAUCACUUGAGUCAGCGAGGGGAUGGCGGAAUUCCAGGUGUAGCGGUGAAAUGCGUAGAUAUCUGGAGGAAGGCCGGUGGCGAAGGCGGCCAUCUGGCGCUGAACUGACACUGAGGCGCGAAAGCGUGGGAGCAAACAGGAUUAGAUACCCUGGUAGUCCACGCCCUAAACGGUGGGUACUAGGUGUAGGGCUCGCAAGGGUUCUGUGCCGUAGGGAAACCAUUAAGUACCCCGCCUGGGGAGUACGGCCGCAAGGUUG
rnacentral:rRNA from 1 species